rnacentral:misc_RNA from 1 species
GACGUAUUCUAGUCUCUCUCUGUCUUAUCGUAUCUCGAAAACUAAAAGAUCUCGGAAGGAAGGAAGGAACUGGUAAGAGCUUAGCUUGAUCUCGCGCUCUUGUUAAGUAAAAGGAGAGAAGGAGAUGUCAGGGAAAGGAGCCAAGGGAUUGAUAACGGGAAAAACCCCAGCCCCAAAAGAUAAAGAUAAGAAGAAACCCACUUCUCGCUCCUCUCGCGCUGGUCUGCAGUUUCCUGUUGGCCGUAUCCAUCGUCUUCUGAAAUCUAGGGUAACUGCACAUGGAAGAGUUGGUGCAACAGCAGCCGUAUACUCUGCUGCUAUCUUAGAGUACCUCACAGCAGAAGUGUUGGAGCUGGCUGGUAAUGCAAGCAAGGAUCUGAAGGUGAAACGUAUAACACCGAGGCAUUUGCAACUAGCAAUUCGUGGUGAUGAAGAACUUGACACCCUCAUCAAAGGAACCAUAGCUGGAGGUGGUGUGAUCCCUCACAUUCACAAGUCUCUAAUCAACAAGUCGUCCAAGGAGUAAAAAAUUGCAGUCCAUUAUUGUUAUUAACUCGGUCAUGGAUGGAUUGCUGUAAAUUGGCUAAUACAUUAUCGGCGGAUAAUUGGGCCCUCUAUUUUGAUUGAUAGCUAUUCUCUUUAAGUGGAUUGUGAGUUGUAACCAAAUAUUUGUGGUUUCAUUGGUAAAUUUUUGCUUGUUCGUGUAAUGUGGCGAUACUGUCGAAUGCACAUAAAAUUGCGUGGAAAUAAAUAUGAAUGGAUCACUAUUAAACACAUAUAUCCA